UAAAAUAUUGUUUUGUAAUGAGAAUCAAUAAUCAUUUUACUCUGUUAUGUGAUUUGCUUAUCAACUUUCAUCAUAUCUACAAUUUCUCAAUUUUUUUCAAAUUAACUAAUACAGUAAACUCGAUCAAUGGUAUUUCCUCUUCCUUCAAAUUUGAUUCGCAACAGUCAUAUGUAUAAAUGGGGAAACUAGAGAUGUCUGAUUGAUAUUGCUUAUUCGAAUUGUUAUUUCAUCUUAGUCAAUCAAGACAUGGUUAGUAGCAUAGGUUACUUGAUUUGACGAAAGGAUUAUGGAAAUUUGCAUAUAUCUUUAUGUUUCUCUUUUUAUGCUCUCACGAAUAUGCUGCUGAUCGAGAAGAAUAUUUUCUUUCCAUAUCUUUACAUUGGCUGAUCAGCCCUCUUUACUAUAUAAUAAGGACUUCGAUCUCAUUCUUUUCUCAUGCUUGUGAUCACUAAAAACAGCUCUUGAACUCUCUUUCUCUCUAAAGGAAAAAAGACAGCCCAUGGAGCUCUCUCUUCACGAAUAACUAGCAGUCCUACUCUUUCAUCAAAAUAUUAUUUAAGAUUUCAUCUUUUUCUUUUCAAUGACUGAUCACUGGUGAAAGACUCUGGAAUUCUCUUCUCCAUUACAAUAUAACUAGAACCUCUUAAUCGGAGGACACUUCUCUUCUUGAAUACUGAUAAACCGAAUCGUCUUUUCUAUGUUCUCUUGUUCUUUGUUGAUAGUUGUAUACCAAUUUUGGCUAUUGAUGCUCGGAUUGCUUGUUGUUGUUUCUGGAUUGUUACUUCCUUACAGGUUAGUUUCUAUCGAAGUACUCUUCAUGCUUAAUGUGGUAGUUGUAUUUUUCAUUCUCUUGUCGCAUCAAAUAUUUGUUUUGGAAAACUCGAAUGUUUUAAGCAUUUCGGGAGAAGCAAACAAGCAUGUCCUUUUAUUUUUAAUGCACUUUGAUAAGUUUUCGGAAACUUAGUGCAUUAGAAAACAUGUUUAUACGAUUUACUCAUAAUUUAACUUCAAAGCUUGUUGCUCUUUUUCUUGUUUGUUUGAAAUCAUGAUUAUCAUAAUAUACAACUUAAUUGCAGCAAAAUACCUUUGUGGUUCACUUCCCAGUCUACUAACCAAAUAAUUGUAUACUGUGGUAGCUAAGAGUAUUUCUUAAUGUUCCAGAAAAUAUGUUAUGCUCUAUUUUCCAAGAUUGGUGUGAAAUUUGUACUUCACAUUUUGUGGUGCUUAACAAGGCCGUUAUGGAAGUGGGCUUAUUAGUGCUUCCGUCUCUAUGCUAUUGUGUGUGCGUGUGCAUUUCUUUUGUGUGAACAGGGCAUUAGUUCGAUAUCGGGGGCAUUGAAGAGUUGUCUGGGACUUGGAAGUUUUCAAGGAUCGUCUAGUCAAAGCCUACUCGUCUCGAAUUCAUUGUCUUUUCCAUUUCACUAGUAGGUUAGCAAUUAAUUCCUCUACUCACAUUUUCACGUAGCUGCUAUGAUUCGUUGAUGUUGUUCUCUAUGUGAUGCCUGGUUGACUGCAUUUUGUUCAGUUAGCUCAAAAUUCAGAUAUGGCAAUCUUGAUUUUCAAAUGUUUCACUUGUAUUCUUGACUGCCAACAGGUAUAUAUUUCCCCCCUUUUUCUUGCCUUUUUGAGAUACUUUUUUGUUGCAAUUUUAUUAUUCUAUUUCUUCUGAUUCAUGUGUUUAUUGUACCCUUUGAAUUGUCGAUCUCAUUUUAAAAACUUGUCUUUAGGAUUCUUUAGAGGUAUAUUGGUUGAAAGUAUUUGGAUAUGGAGAGUUUUGUAUAGAGGUUCCAUUUGAGAUUUUUUAUUUUGAAGUCGAUCUGGCCUCCUAAUAUUUUUCUUGAUGUUGAUUAGCAGAUAAUUCCUCUAUUUACAUUUUUUCGUGCCUUUAGCUAUGAUUCGUCCCCAUGUUGUUCUCUUCGUGAUGCUUGAUAAGUGAGCUUUUCUCAUCUUUUCAUUUUUUUUCUUAAACUGUGUGACCUACAAUAAGAAUAAUGUUUUCCUUUCUUUUAAUUCUGCACUUAAAAAUAUCGAUUUUUGUACGCUAGAAGUAGUAUCCUAAGCUUAAAAUACCACAUAUUGCACAUCAACCAAUCCUAGAAGUGUAAAAUUGAAAUUGGGCUUGGAUUUGAUCUGCAUAUUGUGUUGCUUAUUUGAUUCUUGUAGUUGCUUGUGUAUUGUCUAUUCUAUAUGUGUUUGCAUUUUGAUUCUUCAGUUCUUGUAUGUUUGUAGUUUGGUGCAUCAUUUGUAUGAUUCAUAUAUA